AAAACCCUAUCCUUUAAAUACCUAGCACAGACCUAAAAGAAGCCAAGUCGCUGUUCUUCGUAGCCCCGAAGGAGAACCCUAGCCGAGAGAAAAAGCUUGAAGAAUCUAACCGCCGCGAUGAGAGCUAAGUGGAAGAAGAAGAGGAUGAGGAGAUUGAAGAGGAAGCGCCGAAAGAUGAGACAGAGAUCGAAGUGAUCAUCAUCUUCUUCAUUAGAAUGUGAUUGAGAUUCCUUAUAAUUCAGUGUCUGCAUCUUCUUGAAGCUGUUUGAUCUGUGAGUGAGGGAUUCUUGUUGUCUCUUCUAAUCUAGGUUUUGGAUUCAGUUCAUCUUUUUCAUCAUCAUUAUCAUCAACUAGACUAUAUAUUUAUUUCCUGUAAUCUCAUUUCUGCUAUAUGAUUUUGGAAUCUAUGGUGAUCUUUAGUUAUAUGAA